rnacentral:antisense_RNA from 1 species
GAGUGUGAGUGUGUCUCUGUGUGUGUAGGGGUCGAGGUGGGGGGGUCCGUGUUUGCGAUCUGAACCUUUGGUACCUACAAGGAGGGUGUCUCACCGAACGGUAGCUAAAACCUCACCAGAACCGCGCGGAAGUGAGAAGUCGCGGCCAAAGGCGCCCGCAGAAGCCUCCUCUCUGGGCCGGACCCCAGCCCGAGCGGCCGAAAGGAGCCCCCCGCCCGGAUCACAGCUGCUGCAGCUGCCGCUGAAAUUCGCUGUGGCCGCUGCCUCUUCCCGCUUUAAUCCCAGACCUCCAGUCAUUGGGCAGCUCCUCAGAGGCAAGAAGUCAACACCAUGGCAACCCGACAAGCCUAUCAAAUCACCGGCUGGCGUGACAGCAGCAACACUGCAGGCAGGAGUGGGCUGGGCGGAAGAGCAGAGUGGCCACUGCGCUCAGAAGUUUACAAGGAAAGGGGAAAUGUCUGAAAUGGAGAUUGCACAAUCCUGUCUUGAAGCAGAAGACUCAGCUAGAGCACAUCUGGAAACACCCGGCACUCCUCAAUAGAAUUCAAAUGCUAUUUUAAAAGAGUCCAUUUCUAAGAAGAUGUGGUUCGAACAUACAGAGCUACAUAAUAUGAGUAAAAUAGGACCUAACAGUAGUGUUCUCCAGCAUUGCUCUGCCUUUCCUUUUCUGGAUGUAACAACAUUACUAAGAAAGGAAGAAAAAGCAAAAAUCUGCUCUCGGGGAGAUUCCAGCAUGUUGGAAAGCCCCAAAUGGAAGUCUCUGCUUUGGUUACAGGACAUAAGGUUUAAUAAAUAAAAAGAUGCUCAUCUGGGAUGCUGCACCAAUUAUCAUGUACUAAAUAAGGUUACCUAAUUCACUCUCCAGGUAGAAAUGUCUAUCAUAAGCAUGUGCCACAGAAGGUCUCACAAGUAUCAUUAUUGGCUGUGUUGAAUUUUGUUUUUAGUUCUCUUUUAUAAGGUCUGUAGUCUUACUUUCAGUGAGGAAGUGUUUUCUCAGGUUCUCAAGAAAGUAACAAAAUGCCAGCAUUGUCAAGGUCACCAUUGCCACUGAAUUAUCUUACUGUCUGAUUAUUCCAUCUUCCUCUGCAUCAUAUUAGCCUGAUGACUACAUUCUAAUUAUUUAAAGCGUUAUGUAAAUCAAAGCAGUAAAUGUAAUUUCUAGUCUUACUAGAUAUCAUGUACAUUAGGUCGAAUAACUCUAGAAAUGUCGUCAUAAUCAUGUCAUGCCUAAUGAUGACCUACUCAGCCCCUGCCAACAUCAUUCAAUUACUCAUUUCAGCAUUGAUUUUUCUCAUGCCUCUCUUCAUGGCAUUUAAACAGCCCUCACAUCUCCCCUUUUACUGAGGUGUAAUGUUGUAUAAUGACAGAGAUGCUUUGCUUCCCAGAUUCAUAAUGUUACACUCUGUUUCAAAUCCUUUUGGAGACAAAUUGGGGAAUCAAUAUAUAAAUAAUGACACACUUAUUUUUAAUUAAAAUCACUGCUUUCACAGAAAUGGUAUAUUAAAAUUAUUUUUGCUAAAAAAAUUUUAAAUACCUAUGUACGAUAAAAAGACUGCCAAUCCUUGGGAUCAAGAAUAUAAUUUGCCCCAAAUAACUUUUCUAUAAAAGUAGAAUUCUUAAUGGAAAAUAGAUUAAUACACAUAAUUUCAAGAUCUAACCUUAAAAAUGGAAAUAAUGUGUCCAUUUUUAAAAAUAAAUCAUAUUUACAUA